UGGACACUUUUACGCCUGCUAUGUUAGUUAGGUUAGAUACACACAGACCGCAUAAACCGCAUGAGAGAGUUAUGUAGGCUACACAACACAAUGACGAGAGGGACAGAGACAGUUCGUGAAUCUUCUAGCUUGGAUGGAAGGAUGGCAGGAACAAAUGGAAGGAGUACAUAAGUUAUCCAGCCUGCUGACUAAGAAAUUUCCUGAAAUAUGUCAAUGACCUGAUGCCUCUACAGCAGUGAUUGUCCACCCACUCAGUUACCAGUGUCCUAUUCUGCCACAUUCCAGGGAGAGAGCAGAACCACCCCUCCUUAGAUCCAUACUCAUUGACAGUAAGGUGCAAAACCCUUGUGUCCUAAUUCAACAGACACGUCCCUUG